UCGAGAAUCUUCCGCAAUGCGCGCAAGCGUGACGGAGCGACGCCGCGUGGGUGAUGAAGGCCUUCGGGUUGUAAAGCCCUGUUUCCCGCUAAGAACCACAGGCGGUGAAUAGCUGUCCUGUAUGACGUCAGCGGGGGAGGAAGCACCGGCUAAAUACGUGCCAGCAGCCGCGGUAAUACGUAUGGUGCGAACGUUGUUCGGAAUCACUGGGCAUAAAGAGCACGUAGGCGGUCUGGUAAGUCCGACUGUGAAAUCCCCCGGCUUAACCGGGGAACUGCACCGGAUACUGCCGGACUCGAGUACAGGAGGGGAGAGUGGAAUUCCUGGUGGAGCGGUGAAAUGCGUAGAUAUCAGGAGGAACGCCGGUGGCGAAAGCGACUCUCUGGCCUGCUACUGACGCUGAGGUGCGAAAGCCAGGGGAGCAAACGGGAUUAGAUACCCCCGUAGUCC
rnacentral:rRNA from 1 species